rnacentral:rRNA from 1 species
GAUGAACGCUGGCGGCGUGCCUAAUACAUGCAAGUCGAGCGAACAGACGAGGAGCUUGCUCCUCUGACGUUAGCGGCGGACGGGUGAGUAACACGUGUAUAACCUACCUAUAAGACUGGGAUAACUUCGGGAAACCGGAGCUAAUACCGGAUAAUAUAUUGAACCGCAUGGUUCAAUAGUGAAAGACGGCUUUGCUGUCACUUAUAGAUGGAUCCGCGCCGCAUUAGCUAGUUGGUAAGGUAACGGCUUACCAAGGCAACGAUGCGUAGCCGAACUGAGAGGGGGGUCGGCCACCCUGGAACUGAGACACGGUCCAGACUCCUACGGGAGGCAGCAGUAGGGAAUCUUACGCAAUGGGCGAAAGCCUGACGGAGCAACGCCGCGUGAGUGAUGAAGGUCUUCGGAUCGUAAAGCUCUGUUAUUAGGGAAGAACAAAUGUGUAAGUAACUAUGCACGUAUUGACGGUACCUAAUCAGAAAGCCACGGCUAACUACGUG